rnacentral:rRNA from 1 species
GACGAACGCUGGCGGCGUGCUUAACACAUGCAAGUCGAACGGAAAGGCCCUGCUUUUGUGGGGUGCUCGAGUGGCGAACGGGUGAGUAACACGUGAGUAACCUGCCCUUGACUUUGGGAUAACUUCAGGAAACUGGGGCUAAUACCGGAUAGGAGCUCCUGCUGCAUGGUGAGGGUUGGAAAGUUUCGGCGGUUGGGGUUGGACUCGCGGCUUAUCAGCUUGUUGGUGGGGUAGUGGCUUACCAAGGCUUUGACGGGUAGCCGGCCUGAGAGGGUGACCGGCCACAUUGGGACUGAGAUACGGCCCAGACUCCUACGGGAGGCAGCAGUGGGGAAUAUUGCACAAUGGGCGGAAGCCUGAUGCAGCAACGCCGCGUGCGGGAUGACGGCCUUCGGGUUGUAAACCGCUUUCGCCCGUGACGAAGCGUGAGUGACGGUAAUGGGUAAAGAAGCACCGGCUAACUACGUGCCAGCAGCCGCGGUGAUACGUAGGGUGCGAGCGUUGUCCGGAUUUAUUGGGCGUAAAGGGCUCGUAGGUGGUUGAUCGCGUCGGAAGUGUAAUCUUGGGGCUUAACCCUGAGCGUGCUUUCGAUACGGGUUGACUUGAGGAAGGUAGGGGAGAAUGGAAUUCCUGGUGGAGCGGUGGAAUGCGCAGAUAUCAGGAGGAACACCAGUGGCGAAGGCGGUUCUCUGGGCCUUUCCUGACGCUGAGGAGCGAAAGCGUGGGGAGCGAACAGGCUUAGAUACCCUGGUAGUCCACGCUGUAAACGGUGGGUACUAGGUGUGGGGUCCAUUCCACGGGUUCCGUGCCGUAGCUAACGCUUUAAGUACCCCGCCUGGGGAGUACGGCCGCAAGGCUAAAACUCAAAGGAAUUGACGGGGCCCCGCACAAGCGGCGGAGCAUGCGGAUUAAUUCGAUGCAACGCGUAGAACCUUACCUGGGUUUGACAUGGAUCGGGAGUGCUCAGAGAUGGGUGUGCCUCUUUUGGGGUCGGUUCACAGGUGGUGCAUGGCUGUCGUCAGCUCGUGUCGUGAGAUGUUGGGUUAAGUCCCGCAACGAGCGCAACCCUUGUUCACUGUUGCCAGCACGUUAUGGUGGGGACUCAGUGGAGACCGCCGGGGUCAACUCGGAGGAAGGUGGGGAUGACGUCAAGUCAUCAUGCCCCUUAUGUCCAGGGCUUCACGCAUGCUACAAUGGCUGGUACAGAGAGUGGCGAGCCUGUGAGGGUGAGCGAAUCUCGGAAAGCCGGUCUCAGUUCGGAUUGGGGUCUGCAACUCGACCUCAUAAAGUCGGAGUCGCUAGUAAUCGCAGAUCAGCAACGCUGCGGUGAAUACGUUCCCGGGGCU